UCAGAGUUUGAUUCAUGGCUCAGGAUGAACGCUGGCGGCGUGCCUAAUACAUGCAAGUCGAGCGAACGGACGAGAAGCUUGCUUCUCUGAUGUUAGCGGCGGACGGGUGAGUAACACGUGGAUAACCUACCUAUAAGACUGGGAUAACUUCGGGAAACCGGAGCUAAUACCGGAUAAUAUUUUGAACCGCAUGGUUCAAAAGUGAAAGACGGUCUUGCUGUCACUUAUAGAUGGAUCCGCGCUGCAUUAGCUAGUUGGUAAGGUAACGGCUUACCAAGGCAACGAUGCAUAGCCGACCUGAGAGGGUGAUCGGCCACACUGGAACUGAGACACGGUCCAGACUCCUACGGGAGGCAGCAGUAGGGAAUCUUCCGCAAUGGGCGAAASCCUGACGGAGCAACGCCGCGUGAGUGAUGAAGGUCUUCGGAUCGUAAAACUCUGUUAUUAGGGAAGAACAUAUGUGUAAGUAACUGUGCACAUCUUGACGGUMCCUAAUCAGAAAGCCACGGCUAACUACGUGCCAGCAGCCGCGGUAAUACGUAGGUGGCAAGCGUUAUCCGGAAUUAUUGGGCGUAAAGCGCGCGUAGGCGGUUUUUUAAGUCUGAUGUGAAAGCCCACGGCUCAACCGUGGAGGGUCAUUGGAAACUGGAAAACUUGAGUGCAGAAGAGGAAAGUGGAAUUCCAUGUGUAGCGGUGAAAUGCGCAGAGAUAUGGAGGAACACCAGUGGCGAAGGCGACUUUYUGGUCUGUAACUGACGCUGAUGUGCGAAAGCGUGGGGAUCAAACAGGAUUAGAUACCCUGGUAGUCCACGCCGUAAACGAUGAGUGCUAAGUGUUAGGGGGUUUCCGCCCCUUAGUGCUGCAGCUAACGCAUUAAGCACUCCGCCUGGGAGG
rnacentral:rRNA from 1 species